GACGAACGCUGGUGGCGUGCCUAAUACAUGCAAGUCGAGCGGACCAAUAGAAGCUUGCUUCUGUUGGUUAGCGGCGGACGGGUGAGUAACACGUGGGCAACCUGCCUGUAAGACUGGGAUAACUUCGGGAAACCGGAGCUAAUACCGGAUAAUUCAUCCCCUCGCAUGAGGGGAUGCUGAAAGUCGGUUUACGCUGACACUUACAGAUGGGCCCGCGGCGCAUUAGCUAGUUGGUGAGGUCAUGGCUCACCAAGGCGACGAUGCGUAGCCGACCUGGGAGGGUGAUCAGCCACACUGGGACUGAGACACGGCCCAGACUCCGACGGGAGGCAGCGGUAGGGAAUCUUCCACAAUGGACGAAAGUCUGAUGGAGCAACGCCGCGUGAGCGAUGAAGGCGUUCGGGUCGUAGAGCUCUGUUGUUAGGGAAGAACAAGUAUCGGAGUAACUGCCGGUACCUUGACGGUACCUAACCAGAAGGCCACGGCUAACUACGUGCCAGCCGCCGCCGUAA
rnacentral:rRNA from 1 species